rnacentral:rRNA from 1 species
UACGUAGGGUGCGAGCGUUAAUCGGAAUUACUGGGCGUAAAGCGUGCGUAGACGGUAGCGUAAGUCGGGUGUGAAAGCCCGGGCUCAACCUGGGAAUUGCAUUCGAGACUGCUCUGCUAGGGUGCGGAAGAGGGAAGCGGAAUUUCCGGUGUAGCGGUGAAAUGCGUAGAUAUCGGAAGGAACACCAGUGGCGAAAGCGGCUUCCUGGUCCAGCACCGACGUCAGGCACGAAAGCGUGGGGAGCAAACAGGG